rnacentral:lncRNA from 1 species
CAGUUCUGAGGCUGUGCUGGGACAGAAGAGACCUUUCAGUGAUGGGAGCUUGAUGGAAGGGAGUGGCAACGAGCAGUUGAAACAGAAGCCCAUUUUAUCUGGAUAGAAACCAGAAAAGGAGACCAGGAGUUAAUCCUGGCAUGUUACAUGCAACGAAGCCUCAGACAUUUAGCCAGUCAGCAAACUUCAAGUCUUUCCAUGCGCACACUGUCAUACAGCACUAGACAGGAGAGGACAGGACCCAGAAGAAUGGGAAGAAGGACCUUGCAGGAAAGGAAGAGGCACAGAGAGACAGGGUGGCCCAGCCGGCGAAGUGGAGCGUUGUCCUGUCUCACCCGGCAGGAGUGAGGGGAUGGAUGUGAGUGCGAAAGGCAGCUCCCUGUGGACUGCUGCCCGGCUGAGAGCAGGGUGAAGACGGGAGGUUGGAGGAGCCCAGAGAAGGACUGGACACCAGGAACACGGAGCACAGCAGGGACCACUCCCCAGCCCAUCCCUGUCCCUGUCCCUGGGAAGACCGGAGGCGACACACACGUUGGCGGUGGCAUUAGUCCUUCCUUCCUUCCCGCCGGAGCUCCCGGCCAGCACUGACUCCCGAGGGGGUGGGGGCAGGGCUCUGCGGCGGUGUCACCUGGCCCUUCCUGCUGGGAAGGCGGGGAUGCACCCCACUCCUCCCUCCCC